rnacentral:tRNA from 1 species
CAAGAGGUAGUUUAUUUUAAAAUAUUAAUUUUGGGGAUUAAUGAAAAAGAAAAAUCUUUUCUCUUGA